rfam:Vicugna pacos cont1.87159, whole genome shotgun sequence.
GAUUUACCUGUGUUCGAGUACUGCUUUGUGAUAGGCAAGUCGCUGAGGGCCAUUUUGAGUUUCUUGUUAUUAUAAAGCACAUUUCAACCUCUAAGAAACUAUUCCUGCGGUGCACAGCAG